rnacentral:rRNA from 1 species
UCUGGCCUGCCCAGUGAUAAUUUUAACGGCCGCGGUAUCAUGACCGUGCAAAGGUAGCGUAAUCACUUGUCUUUUAAAUAAGGACCUGUAUGAAAGGCAAAACGAAAAUUCAACUGUCUCUUUAAUCUAACCAGUGAAAUUAAUAUCUCCGUGCAGAAGCGGAGAUGACAAUAUAAGACGAGAAGACCCUAUGGAGCUUCAAACACAAGACUAAGUACACAUCUAUAAGCCAACCGGCAAAUUAUAAAAAUGUGCACUCAUGGUCUAAGUUUUCGGUUGGGGCGACCACGGAAGAAAAAAAAUCCUCCGCAAUAAGCAACUUAGAACAACACUUCAAAGACUAAAAUAUUUAAUAUAAAAUGAUCCACUAAGUGACCAAUGAACCAAGUUACCCUAGGGAUAACAGCGCAAUCCUUUCUAAGAGUCCAUAUCGACGAAUGGGUUCACGACCUCGAUGUUGGAUCAGGACACCC